CUACUCCUCCAAAGGCACUGCACCCCCUUCCCCCCUUCCCCUCAGGCCCACAGCCCACCCCCCUAGCCAUCUCACGGGGUGUCGUCUCCUCCUUUUGAUGCAUCCCUGCAGCACCCCCUGCUGUCCACUCCAUCAUAUCACACCCAGGACCCAAAGACUGCGUGGACAUCCUGCCUACGCCAGCUGCACCUUGGAACGACUGCCUGUCCGGUUGAGCGGGAAGUGGACCCCAGUAUUGGACACUCUAGAACUGUUGGAGUGCUGCAAAGCCUCAUGGGACCCCUGAUUUCUCUUCCUGUUAGCAUUGACGUGACUCAAGUCUGUCAGUCCUCUAGAUGAGGUGGACGUCUGCUAUUGGUCUCACUUAGCUGGGAUAACACCAAUCAUAUGGCACUAUGCUGGGCCUGACUUGUCAUAGGUGAGAGUCUGGCCAAUGAUAUAGCAGCAAUACAGCCGUGGGAGGCGGAGCUGGGAUUAUGAUGCAAAAAUCAGACUGUCAGGCUACACCAGCUUCCCCCCCCAUGUGGAGAGGCUCGCCGCAGACCUCUCCCUGAGGAAGCCGAGGGUCUCGACUGUUAGAACCACUACGGCGCCACCCCCACUGCCACAGGCAGGCGGAGGAACUGCAGCCGCAGUGAGGAAACUCCCAGGAGGAGCUGAGCGACACUUACAGGAAGAGACUGAAGCCCGUCGAAAUGGGUGUGCAAUACUGUGUUAGCAUAGUAUAAACUUUCACUGAGAACCUUUGGAUGCCCCCAACAAGCCUGCCUGUAAGUGGGCUCCGACAUCGGUGUGGCUUUGGUCUCACAGAUGGCGGGACAGAGGGGCAUGGGAGAGGCAUACUGAUUAAUGUACGUCACUCGUGUAAGAACUCAGUCAAUACCCUUUUGUAUAUAAUAUCUUUAUUUUUGUACAAAUGCACUAUGCGGUUGUCAGGCAGGCUCCCAGCGGUCGCUGCAGUGAGCCGUUUGCUUCGGGGGUGGGGGGCGGGGAGGCGUGUGACAACCGUGUACAAGCACCAAAUAUAAAUAAACAGAAGCCCAGAGCAGGCUGUCCGUG